rnacentral:rRNA from 1 species
CCUACGGGUGACAGCAGUGGGGGAUAUUGGACAAUGGGGGGAACCCUGAUCCAGCGACGCCGCGUGAGUGAAGAAGUAUUUCGGUAUGUAAAGCUCUGUCAGCAGGGAAGAAAGAAAUGACGGUACCUGACCAAGAAGCCCCGGCUAACUACGUGCCAGCAGCCGCGGUAAUACGUAGGGGGCAAGCGUUAUCCGGAAUUACUGGGUGUAAAGGGAGCGUAGACGGUUAAGUAAGUCUGGAGUGAAAGGCCGGGGCCCAACCCCGGGACUGCUCUGGAAACUAUUGAACUUGAGUGCAGGGGAGGUAAGCGGAAUUCCUAGUGUAGCGGUGAAAUGCGUAGAUAUUAGGAGGAACACCAGUGGCGAAGGCGGCUUACUGGACUGUAACUGACGUUGAGGCUCGAAAGCGUGGGGAGCAAACAGGAUUAGAUACCCUGGUAGUC